rnacentral:snRNA from 1 species
AAAUGUGAGGGAGAUCUGGCUGUGACACAUCACCUCACUGACCACCAGGGCUAAUUGGACUGACCUGGCUGGCUAGGCUAGUGUGCCCUUCCUCCCUCCCUCACUGCUCCCUGUGUGUCCCUCCCAGAGGGACACCUUCCUGGAAUAGAGAAGACUGUCCUCAAUUGAAGGUUUACGAGUUGCCGUGCUGCCCUGUUAGAACCUCCAAACAAGCUCUCAGUUGAGUCUAUCACCAUCAACUUUUAAAAGUGAACUAAAAAUAACAUCAAUUAUUCCUAAAAGUUGGAUUGGAGAUAAUUUUCCCUUU